GCUGGAAUAGCUCAAUGGUAGAGCAAUUGUAUCGUAAACAAAAGGUUGCGGGUUCAAGUCCUGUUUCCAGCACCA
rnacentral:tRNA from 2 species